rnacentral:lncRNA from 1 species
GUUGGUCAGAAGUAAAGAAGGAUUUGGAAAUAUGGUCAAAAUUGAAGUUAUCAUUGUUGGGCCGAAUUGCUGCGAUAAAGAUGAAUGUAUUGCCUAGAAUGUUGUUUUUGUUUCAAACAUUGCAAAUUGUGGACAAAAUGGACUGUUUCAAGAGGUGGCAAAGAGAUAUUUCUAAAUUUAUCUGGCAGGGCAAAAAGCCUAGAAUAAAAUUUAAAAUAUUAACAGAUGCAAAGGAAAGAGGUGGAUUUGCCCUGCCAGAUCUUAAACUUUAUUAUGAAUCAGCCGCAUUUUGCUGGUUGAAAGACUGGCUACUUCUUGAAAAUACGGACAUUUUGGACCUAGAAGGUUUUGAUAAUGUGUUUGGAUGGCAUGCAUAUUUAUGGUACGACAAGGUUAAAGCGCAUAAGGCCUUUAAGAACCAUAUUGUCAGGAAAGCAUUGUUUAAUGUUUGGGUGAG